rnacentral:lncRNA from 1 species
CUCCUGCCUCUGUCUAUACCUAACAGACAUUGAAAACGAAAGCGAUGAUUUGGUGGAACGUUGUGAUUAAACUUUAAUCGCUACUUGCACAAUUCCUUCGGCUCAUCAAGAUCAAGAUACCAUGGUUCACCUGGAUCACUUUACUGACACCCAUAUUUCAAGAAACGUGGAUAAUGUUGACACAGUGAGCAAAAAAGCUUUGGAGCCUGAGGCCCUUGACAUCACAGACAUUGAGAGUCAACACAGCACAGACAAUCAAGACUGAUGAAGAAAAGAAAGAAAUCAUAACAUCUUCUAAUUUCCCAGAAAGUACGACACCUGUUCUGACAAUUGCAUUGAUUGGUGGCACUGAUUCUAUGUAGAUUGAAUCUGGAAAUCUCCUUCUUGGUCAAGAUGAUCUACCAGCAGCAGAACUCUCACAGAUAACACCCAGGAUGUAUGAUCUACCAGCAGCAGAACUCUCACAGAUAACACCCAGGAUGUAUGAUCUACCAGCAGCAGAACUCUCACAGAUAAUACCCAGGAUGUAUGAUUUGCCCAGUCAUUGUGUCUCUGUUAUCAACAUGCUGGGCUUGCAGAGUUCUGAACUUACCCAGGAGAAUCACAUAGGUCUACUUGUUCAUAAGCAGGGUAUCAAUGCUGUCCUCUUACUUCUACCAUUGGGUCAGCAUAUUGAUGAAUUCAAAAUGGGAGUGGGGUGGCUGGAAAGAAUGCUUGGAGAGAGAGCCCUUGCCUUUACAAUAAUCGUCUUUACCCACAAGAAUGGGCAAGACUUUGGGUUGGGUGAUCUAAAGGACAACAAUGAUCUGAUGGAUCUCAUAGAAAUGUGUGGAAAUAGGUAUCUCACCUGUAAAAAGAGUAUGAAUGAUCCAAUCGAGAUUUCAACAUUACUUGAAUAGAUAGACCUCAUGGUGUCUGAAAAUGAUCCAUGCUGCUACACAGGAUACAUGUAUGAUGAAGAGAUCAGGAAACGGCAACUGAAAACAGAUUGGGGUGACCGAUCACAAAGCGAGGAGAAA